AGAUUCUGACAAUACCCCGGCUGUUCACCUCAGUUUUUUGGCGUUAGCCCCUCGCUAGCCACUCGUCAGCAAGAGGUUAAAGACCAGCGGUGAAACAGCAACAACUAAACACCUUAAUUCGAUGACCCCCAAAAGGCCCGCGGCCGCCUGAUCAGCCGUUCACCGCUCGCUGGAUGACACGCCGGCACCUGCCCAGCGAGUUAGCGUGUUAGCUUGUUAGGUCUUGUCGCCGCUAGUGUGCCACCAGAGGCAAUAGCAGCGGCUCGACCAACAUUGCGAUAAACCGUGUUCUGAUCUAACGUUAGCUUAGGUGGUAUUUUUCAUGGGCACAGGUUGUGUUGGUGUCUCUGGUCUCUGGUUGGUCUCAUUGGUGUUACAAAAUGUUUACGUGUCUCAAGCUGUUGUGUUGUUAAAGAGCGUUUGUUGCGGGUUAUUUAUUGUUGUUAUAACCAUGACUUAAUCAAGUAGUUCCAACCGCUCCACCUUGAGCUAUGAGGUGUAAAAUGAAAUGAAAAAGGCAGGUGCAUGUUAGUAUGACGCUACGGGAAACAUUCAUACCGUAAGUAAAUAAGUAAACCGUAAACCGGUUGAAACGCGGUUUGCCGCACACAGUCCUAUCCGAUGGUUUAAAACACACAUUAGUGUCUUUCAGUAUUGAGCUCUGUAGUUGGACAGUUUCCAUAUAUAUCUAUGUCACAUAAUUCACCUCACAUACUUGAGAAUGCAUCAGGGCUUGCGAUUUUUACAAAUCAUCGUAAUUGGAUCUAAUGAUUGUGUUUUUCCUCCAUCACCAACAGUGCAAUCAAGCAAUCGGCCAGACGCUGAGCACAGCGGCCUCUCGUCAUUGACAGUUCUUCUGGUUUUCCUACUCAAAAGCAAACAACAUACAACACAGUGCUCCGUUGUUUCCACGGAGAUGCUACAAUUAUUAUUCGUAUGAUUAUUAUUUGUUUGCCUAGCUGCAUGUUCCCUUUCUCUGCAGUACGUUGGGACAAGUGGCAAAGAGGCAGCAUGUUAGCUGCUGUGUGAUUGAGUGAGUGACCUUCAAGUCACAAUAAAGCCCAUUAUGUCAUCUUUACGGGAGAUUGUCGCCAUCAUUUCAUACAUUUGCAUCGGACCCUUGGAAUGUCUCUGUUGAAUGUGAGGUUGAGUUUGCUGAUUCAGUAAACGUCUAUUGAGAUUAAAGGUCAGAUCUGGGUUAAGAACUCACACAAAAAAAAAAAAAAGCAAAUGCUAACGGCACAGAGGAGCGAUACUUCCUCCAAAAGCUGCAGACGGGUCUUUCCCUUCGUGUUUCCAGCACAAUUCAGAAGCUUUAUCUUGCCUGAGGCUCAGAGGAGACUUAGACUGACACAUUCCAGCUGCUUCUCCAGCUGCAGACAAAACAACAAACUGCCGACAAACAGAGAUGUGCGAGGGGAUGCAUACUGUGCCCUUAAGGAUUCAUGCCCUGGUCUUGUAGUGGUGCUGCAGUCUCCGUAAUUGUCUGGCCUUUGUGGACUAAUUGCUUGUCUGCUGCACCAUCGCAUGCUUCAAUUGCUGAAAGGAGGACUCACUUAAUGCAAUACAGGGGGUGCUGUCUCCAAGAGCUGCUGGUUGAGGGAAGUCAACAGAGCGUAUAUUACUACUCCUCUAGAGAUGUAUGCAACACUGUCAAAGAGCUUUGGAUUCCGACCGAUUCUGACCGACCACCAACGCUUUUAGCGGCACAAAAGUGCUGCUACCGAUAUCAAUAAUGUUACAGAAAUCUGGUUGUAGAGGACAACUAGGAGGUAUACGUCUUAAAGAAACAUAUAGUAUAGUCACCUGCAUAAAUGCAGAAAUAACAACAACUUUGUUUUUGCCUUGAAGCUGGUAUUUUUGUACAGUUGACGCUAAUACAGAUAUCUACCAAGUCCAAUUACAUCUUGACAGCUUAACUCGAGGACCACUUUAAAGUUCAAAUAUCGUCAAACUACAUGAAAAUAUUAACUAUUAUUUUAAGGGAAUGUUAACAGUAGACGCUCACCUUCGACUGUAUAAACACUCAUUGUUUGUUUGCGUCAACUCGGCAAAAUGGAAACAGCUUAAUUGGAGCAUAUAUGAACUGAUAUGUCACAUUAUUCCCAACACACUUCUUUCUGUCGAAUGCCGACUGUCGACACUGCAGCCCCGCGACUUUCGUGAUAAGGUUACCGUGACAUUUUCCAGAUGGCGGCUGAAAAAAAGCGUCGGAAACAAAACGAUGUCUAAAUGGAUUCCGUCCUGAGCUGCGGGUUUGAUGCUGUGUUAUCGACAGGCUACUUCCCAGAAGGAAUGGGCUUUGCCAGGGGACAGGACUAAUGGAACAAACCAAGAGUUGCAUCCCCCCUGACACCCUAUCUGAGUCUAAACUCGCCUGCUUAGAAACUGCGGCGGCGCCCGGGUGCAGCCGCCUCGCUCCAUCUUUUGGCUUUGCAUCUCUUGCCGCCUCGGGGCUUGGUUGAAAGGUCAAAUCCACAUCAGAUUUCUCUUGUUUGACGUUUUAAAAACCCGACAUUAUUCUCUCUCCACUUCGGCCAAAGUGACACGCGGCAGUGGCUCGACUCACGGAGCUCAGACUCGUGGGGAGACACAAUCCCCGGUGACGUCAAAGCGGUGUAAAUAACUCCUGCAGUGGAUUAGAAGGAGGGAGCUGUUCGUACCGCUUAGACCGAGGCGAAGAAACAAACGCAGCGUGUGACACGUCGAGCGGCUCUUGCGCCGUCGACGCACAGGUCUUCCCGAGGCAACUCGCUCAAGGCUCCGGAUGGGUUUGAGAAACGACAGUGCAACCGGCUGGAAGGUAAUCUCGCAAGCCGAUGAGGACGUCUCAGUGUGGGGGAGACAAAGACACGGGACACAGCGGUGCAGAAACAUCAAAGUGCUGAAGAUCAAGUAAUCUCAAUCAAUACCUUUCCUCAGAGGAGAAAGGGAGCAACACAUUUGGAGCCAGAGACGGAUAAAGAUUCAACAUAGAGCGUCUUGGCCGGAUCGGGAUUUUGAUGGGCUGUCACACAACAGCGGCGGCCCCCUAACCUUGGCGGCGUGAGGGCGGUGCUCCAUCCAUUGAGCCACACAGUAAUAAAACCCUUAAUCCUGCCGGUUUUAGUGUAUCUCUCCUCGACUGAGCUUCAGAGGACAUGGGAUACCCGAGCCUGGGAGCACUCAGACGUCUUGGCAAGCAGGAGGAGAUGCGGCAGAAAGUGAGAUGACAAAGUGACGUCCAAGGACAACCGACAAAAAAAAACCUAAAUAUUCUUGUCCUUAAACAGCAAAAGUGGAGAUGUCUGUCACAGUUUGAUGACUUUGAUGGAGUAGAGACGGGGCGCCCUUGAGGUUUGAAGAUACUGUGCUGUAGUUAGAAAGUCACGGGUUUAAUCCAUCAGUGGCAAACUCAUCCACUGACACCUAUUGGUUCCUUUAGAAAACUCUUUUGUUACGUUCUGCAUGCACAGAGCACGCUGGCUAUCGACCGUUCUCCAGCUAAGGUCUAAUGUGGAUUCAAGCUAUUUAAAAGUAACCUCGCUCUUAUUGAGUAUCCCAGAAGCUUAACAAAAUACUGCAUGUGUCUUUCACUUGUACCCUCUACAUUUCACUAAGCAAGGUGGCUUUAAUUAGCAAAAUAAACAAUUACCC
ensembl:lncRNA